ACAAAGAAAAACCUAACCCUAUGUCCGUCUCUUCUUAAAAACUCUCUCCAUAAUUUUUCUUUCGAUCUCUUUCUUUCUCAUCGUAUGCAGUAUGCUGUGAUCUUGACUCACCUGUUUACCUUCUCGAGCAGCGACAGUGAUUCAGUGAUUUUGGUGUGUUUAUAAUGAAGGUUUUUAUUCACAGGGUGUAAAAUCAGAAAGAUGUGCAACUUAAUCUGAUUGAUUCCGCAAAACGAUUAGGAUUUUUAACUAAUCGUUAGAGGUGCCGAAGAGAGUGAAAGUUUUAAUAAGAACUGUAAGUAUUUUUAUUCAUUGAGAGACAACGGGGGACAAAUAAGCGGACGUCCAUUCUGUCCAAGGACCAUGAACAAUUACCUCCUUUCUAUCGUAAUGUCAUGUUCUCAGCUAACAACAUUCGAGCUACCAAACGGUGGGGGUAAAGGUCCCGUCCUUUUAUGGAGCCUGAAAACGAGAUUGACAUUUGAAACGUCCACUGAUCUACUGAAUAAUUAGUAGAUUCGUAAUUGGCGCUGGUGAAAUUACCUUCAUAUUAAUCCAGGUACACUAUCUCUGAUUAUAUAUCUAAUUAGUAUACUACUUAGACUGUAUUGGUAUCUGUACAAAAGCAAAGUUGUGUUUUUCGUGUAGCGGAUAAAUCUUAGGUACACAGUAAAUUUUUAUCUAAUGGAAUAAAAUGUGCAGGUUUGUGCAUAAGAGUUAUGCUAGAUGACCUGUAGCUGCUUUCUGCAAUAUCUUAGUGGCUCUCACCAUCCUGCUCAAUUAAUUGUGUAACAAAGAACAAAAACAUGUUCAUUCUUUCCUUAAUAUUUCUUAAGAAAUGUGUUUUUAGGUCUUUUGUUCCUCCGAGACUAUAUACUUUCUUUUGGAUUGUCAUGUGGUUAUUAAUUUCUUCAAUCAUAGGAUUGUGGAUAUAUCCCAUUGCAGUUGGAGUUGCUGACAGUUGGAGCUGCUAAUGGAACUAUAUUUGUUUCAAUGCUAACUAUAGUAUAAUGCACUUGGAUAGUUAUCAAAUCUGGUGGAAGUAUUUGGAUAUUCUUUGAUCUAGAAUAGAAGAUAUGUUUGAAUGCUAACUUUAAAAAGACUGUAAAGUGUCCAAAUGUGAAACAGGAAGGUCUGCUGAGCCUGAAGACGCAGAUAUACGAUUAAGUUUGUUUCAACUUUUAUCAUCUUUACUCAAACAUAAAUGACUUAUUUUUGCUUGCCAAAAAAUUAUGGUAUACAAAGAAGAAAUAAUCUAUUUUUCUUCUUUCAUCUUUGGACUUUGGUGCAAGUAGUAUGACAUCGCUAUGGAAUGCUCUACUGAUAAUAUUUGGAUCUCGCAUGAAAUUUUACUCGCGCAGCUGCUAAAUUUUUUAGAUUUUAGUCUAUACUAAGGAGAUGCGAGAGACCUUAAUUGUAGAGAUGCAUGCAGGGGAGUAACUUAUUUUGUAUUAAACUUUUAAUUAAUUUUUUUGGUAUUAGGCGUGCUUUCACAAUAAUCUUAUGGUUGAAAUUUUGGGAUGGUUGUAUUUUGUUCUUUUCGGGAUUGUGAAAAUUUGGCUAUCUCAAUGUGCUGAACUUUCUGUUUGGAUCUGUUCUGGAGGACCUUUUGGUAUAUAAAGGUAUAAGCAGCAGUUGCCACGUUCAAGCUAAAGCAGACACUAAACUAUCCAUCAGUUCUACUAAAGCUUUUUUUUUCAAUGGUUAUUUUCAUAUUCAUGAUAGAUUUAAUGUUAUAGCCUACGAACAAUAGCAUCAUGUUCUUGAAAACUAAAUGUCUUCAUAGACAGGAUGGUGGUGCGUCUACUUAAAAUACUGAACGACUUCGACAGGCUGGUGCUGCUGCUAAGGAAAAUAAACCUUAGCUCUUGGUUGUUUAGAUAUGAGUGUGUAAAAGCCUAACAUGUAGCUGAACUUCGAAAUUGGCUAAACCAAUAAUGUAACUAAGUUGAUAAUAAUAAUCCAAAAUUUGAAAAGUAAUUAAGGUAUUCACCUAAGUUUUCAA